rnacentral:lncRNA from 1 species
AUAACCUUAUAAACAAACAGUUGUUUAUUUAGAGUUAUUUAUUAUUGUUUUCUCAUAUUUUGCAAUUGUUAAGUUGGUUUACUUCGAAUUUAAUGUGCAUUACUGUGGUAUUUCUCCAGUUUUCUAAGAAGGUUGGUGAUUUUGAAUUGGGAUUAUGAUGAAUUUAACCCAAAGGCAAUGUGUGUGUUUAUUUAUGUGGCAAAAUUCCAGGCACCAUAAAAAUUUGAGUUUCUUCCUGUUGCCCAUGGCACAGCCCCAUGGAUGAAAAUCGGUUUGCAGAAUGAAAAGAAAUUGUUCAAUGUGAUAAACUUUCUAUGAACAGUCCUCAGUGUUGUUACAUUAACUUUUAAAUAUGCAUCUUGAGGAGCAGGCCUUUGCAGAAAUACUGAAAAGCGGGUUGCAAAACAACGCAAAAUAAAAUAAACGAAAUAUGUCUUGGAAUGAUAAUUUUGUAAUUCUGUAGGCACAUCUAUUGAGAAGUUACAACCAGUGGCAAAGUGCCUUAAGGGAAUCUAUGACAUAUAUAAUUGAAGGUAUCAGCAUUGGCUCUACAGCCCAUGGUGGGUCUUGGCCUGUUCCAGAAUCAGCUUCCACUCUUUCCUAUCCUUUGCUUGGCUUUCCAAUUUCUCACUCGAGCAUGAAUUUUUGGUAUAUAUGGGAUUAUAUUGUGAUAACGACCAGAUCUAUGAAAGAAUAGUAUGUUGUUAAAGAAGAUUGUGGUGACACUAUUCAUGAAUAUCUGAUAAUAUUGGUUAAUGUGAAUGGAGUCCAAAAUGGGGUUUAGGCUGUUAUAUAAAAAACUAGGUCAUUAGCAUAUGGAAGUAGGGCGACAUUAUCUGGUAUUAAAUUAUGUGAAUGAGGAGAAUUAAACCUAAAAACUCUAUUUAUUCUGCUAAUCAAUAUGAAUUUAAUAUAUUUUAAUAUAAAACAUAUGUUAUUCUUUCUAGGGACACCUCCUCUGAAGGAAUUACAAUUAUUUGCCAGUAUGUCAAAUGAAUUUUCAACAUCAGUCAUACUUUCAUGAAUUUAUUGAUGAAAAUAAAACUAGGUACAUGAUUUAUUAUUUACUUCUAAGGGAUUCUAAGAUACUAUGUGUAAAAAGUCCAAUAUGCAGUGAUGAGCAUGCUAAUAACUGGCAAAAUAUGGGAUAUAACGCCAAAGAUGGGAAACAUGGGAUGCAUUCUGAAGUAAAAAGAGAUGAAACUGAGAGAAAUUAUUGAUAUAAACAUAUAAAUUAACAUUGCAUUACAUAGUUUCCCACCUUUAGACGUAUCAGAUGAGUAUGAGAACUGUCACUGUGCCAGGAGAAUUUUAUAAAAUACUCCUGUCACAGAGAUCUAAAGGUGGGAAACUAUGUAAUGUUAUCGUCGGCUAAGAGUGUUAACCUGCUAACUCUAUUUUUCACUGUGAGUGAUAUUGGGGUAGUUUCUAGGUCUGUGUACCUUCAUACCAUGUCCCACAAGCCCGCUGGUUCCACUGUAGUUUAGAGAUAGCUAUUUCUAAACUACAUUGGUGUCGGCGGGUUUGUGUGGUGGUGUAUGAAAAUACACGGACCCAGAAACUAGCCCAAUAUCACUCAAAGUGAAAAAUGGAGGUUAAAACUCUUAUCCAAGGUUAUGUUAAUUUAUUCGUUUAUAACGAUAAGUUCCACUUCUACCAGUUUCAUCUCUUUUUAUCUCACAAGUUAAUAUGUUUUCCAUCUUUUGCUUUAUUUUGCCGGUUAUUAGUGUGAGUGCUCAUUACUGUAUAUUUACGAUUCUGUGAUUUCUCAAUAUGAUGCUGAGUAGGUAUAGAUCUGAGUAGGUAUAUAGUAGGUAUCUACAACCCUUUCAAAACAGAAAUUUAUAAGUUCAUUUUAUGUACCUAUUAAACUUUAUUUUAAGGAUGAAUUUGAAAUGCUUGUAGGGAAUAUAUCUGUAAAAAAUAAAAUUGGUAUUGUAAAAUUGAAAUUCUCAAAAUAUAAUUUAUAAUUCGAA